rnacentral:rRNA from 1 species
CCUACGGGAGGCAGCAGUGAGGAAUAUUGGUCAAUGGGCGCAAGCCUGAACCAGCCAUGCCGCGUGCAGGAAGAAUGCCCUCUGGGUUGUAAACUGCUUUUAUUUGGGAAUAAACCUUUUUACGUGUAGAAAGCUGAAGGUACCAAAUGAAUAAGCACCGGCUAACUCCGUGCCAGCAGCCGCGGUAAUACGGAGGGUGCAAGCGUUAUCCGGAAUCAUUGGGUUUAAAGGGUCCGCAGGCGGAUUUAUAAGUCAGUGGUGAAAUCUCUCGGCUUAACCGAGAAACUGCCAUUGAUACUGUAAGUCUUGAAUUCGGUCGAAGUGGGCGGAAUGUGUAGUGUAGCGGUGAAAUGCAUAGAUAUUACACAGAACACCGAUAGCGAAGGCAGCUCACUAGGCCUGGAUUGACGCUCAGGGACGAAAGCGUGGGGAUCAAACAGGAUUAGAUACCCUGGUAGUCCACGCUGUAAACGAUGAUUACUCGUUUUCGGCGAUAUAACGUAGGUACGGACGUAACGUAACGGAACGGUAAAGGUAGUAAGUAAAGUUAAACCUACCCGUACCGGGGUAGGGGGUAACGGUAACGGUAACGGUCCGAACGGUUAAGGGUUAAACGUAAACCGUUAAACGUUAAAGUAAGUUAAGUUACGGGACCGGUCGGUUAGGACGUUACGUUCCGACCGGACCGGACCGACCGACGGGAGGGUUAGGUUAGG